UAUUUCAUACAUUUGUACGAGUUUUUAUACAUAUAAAAAAUUAUAAUUCAUGGACAUAUUAAAUAUUCAAGAAUUAAUUUAUUGAAUUGUAUUUUAAAUGCCCUAAAACAUUAAAGGAUCGAUGACAGCAGGUAAAUUCCUGUGGCAUGCUGCGACCAGGAAGUAUUUGUGCCGAUAAAGCCGUUUAUUCAGGACUAUCCAGUACGUGCGUCCCGAUGCCAUUCUCGAUUAGUUGUGGAUCGCCAAUGCGACGCCCUCGCAAUUAUUUCCUCGCUUCACCGUCGGGGUCUUCCCAGAGGAUCAUCGAGACAUACGGGCUUAGGUCAGCUUAUGGCCGUAAUCAUGCGUCUCAUUCGCCGAAGUGCCAGUACGGCGCAAGUGUUGACCCCCAUAAAGGAUCCACGUGUCGCCGUGUGCGGAGCCGCAUGGGCGUCUACAAUGGGGGGCUUAAUCGAGGCCCGUUAGACGAUCGCGAGAAACGCGCGUCUGAAGAUCACGAGAAUACAAAGGACGAUGCAUAAAUAAAAAGAUAUUCACAGAACGUAACUGAAGGGAUCAAUAAAGAAGUAAGUAAAAUAAGACAUUAAAAUGUUUUGUAUCCCUUUUUAAAUAUUAAUAUUUUAGCGGCGUUAGCUUUAAAUAUUAAAUAAGAUUUGAAGAUUUCAGUUUUAAACGUUUUAGUUGUUUUAAAUCUAAACACUGUUUAAGAGUAAAGCAUUUUUAAAUGUUUAAAAACCGAAGACAGAUAAAACAUUUUAUUAUGUUAAAAUUGAACUUGUUUCUUCAAGUGAUAACGUCGUAAAAUUGAUUGAGAACGCGAACAGUAAAAUCUCAUUAAGCAAACUGAGUUUCAAAGUAAUUUGUAUUUACUUUGUAAAAGCAUAGGAAUUUCUAACCAUCAAGGUUACAAAAAUUAAAUUAAAAUUGUGAUAAAAGUGAAUUUUCUUCAUUAAAAUAUAAGAGUAAAAAAUUUUAAUAACUGUGUACGUAAAGAAAUAAAACAAAUCAAAUUUAUUUUUCUUAUCUAGAGGAGUAAAAAUCUUUAAAGCCGCAAUAGUUGGAUGAUUAUAGAAUUCGUAUUUAUCGUUUCUAUUUAUUGUAUAUACUCCGUGUCAUACAACUCAGAAAAAUUAUUUGCAAGAUCAUCGCACGAGAAAAAAAAAUUCUGCAAACGCCCAUGCAUCGACCCCCUAUUGGAAUUAAACGAGAUGAACCAGAGAUUCUCCGCUGCAUUCUCUUGAAGGAUCAAUCGAGGAUCUCUACAAGUAUUGAAAAUUUCGUGGUUAAGCCGCGAGCGCUGAUCCCACUGUCGAUAUCGUGUAUUAUCUCACUCGAUAUCCUUGAGCAUAGAAGUAUUUUGAGGGAACAUGUGCGAGGUGCUUCAUUAUGAGCUGUAUCGAAAACGAUACGUGCAAUAUGGUUGACAUUAAUUUCUGUUGCGGAUAACGAAAAAAGUAUACUUUAUGAUAAUCUCUGCGAGAGAAUUUAUAAUACAUAAUGCUACCCGUACUCUUAAAAUUUCUCACUCUUUUAAAAUGUUAAGUAUUUCCAUACUGUAAUGCAAAGAGAAUCUGAAAUAAUGGCUUUUCUGGAACCUAUGUAAUAUGUAACAAUUACUUUGCAAUGUCUCAAGCAAUGUAGAAGCUGUAAAUAUAGAAUAUUUAUAAAUGUGUAUCACGAUUGUGUUAGUUACGUUGAAAGAAAGUAUAUUAAUAAUAAUCGAGCUUUGAAAACUUGAUUAAUAUAAAUUUAAUUAAUAUAACCAAAUAUUUAAUAAUUAUAUUAAUAAUAGUAAUCAAACAUAAUGUUUAUUAAGCUUUACUAAAUAUUACUAUGUAUUUGAUUAUGUUAACCAAGCAUUUAAAUAAAGUUUUUUAUUUCGCUAAGGCUUAGUUGUCAUUCAAAUUAUCACAGACUUGAUUAUUAUUACUAUUCUUGUUUUUUGAUUGUAGAAUCUUAUCGUUUUGACAUUACAAAUUGUUGGAUUUUGACUCACAAGAAUGAGAAUAGAGGUUUCGAUGUGUUACAGAUCAUGUAUCUAUAGCACAUCGAAAUCUGGACCCGAUAGAGAUUAUACCGGUUCCAGUUCUCGCUAAGAGGAAUUCGCCGAAGGACUUGAACGAAUUCCGCCGAGAGGCAGCGCCUCUCGUUCCUUUAUGUAUAUAUUUUAUAUAUAUAUCGAGCGUCAUUUUCAUUCCAAAAAAAUCGUGUUGCGUUUAAUUACGUUGUGCAAUAAUCGUUACAUAAUAUUUAUGCUACAGGAUUUUUUCCACAAAUGGCUCGACGGGCAGCGUUGCUCAACUUGGGAUGUCAUAUGAGAACAAGUGAGGCAGUAUGUAAAAUCCUCUUUACACGUGGUCUCGCAUAAAUAACUUUUGCAAUUUGUGAAAUCAACUACGAUCAAAUAGUCAAUGAAAUCAGUAAUAAGCACUAAUAUACUUUUAGUUUGAAGAAAUUAAAAAUCUCUUCGUUCUAUGAAAUCUAAAAGACAUCGUACUCAUUUUGAUAAAUUUGUAAUAUCUGCAAAAAGUAUUAUUUUUAUCGAAUUCGCAGGAAAAAUUUUCUUUUUACAUAUUUACCAUAUAUUCGUUUUACACGAAAUUUUGCGAAUGAAAAUUCAAUUAUUGUUAUCAUAUUCAGUUUUAUGUAGAAUUUGUUGUCCUCUAUAUCAAGCUAUAAUAUACGAUCUUGAUAUUGAAUGACGACAAAAAAAAAUGUAUAAUCGAGAAUGAGUUUGCAGCACAACGCGAGAGAUGGGGCGCUGCCAAUGAUUUAUGAUCGCCGGGGUUAACGAACACUAUAGGAUGCAUGCAGUGUGGCAUGAAAUUUUUUGUGACUCUUCUGUGCCGUGAAGUAUUGAUGAUGGCGUGAAAGCUCGUAAUUUAGCCCCGCGAGAUAGAACAUUGUAAAUAUAUUUAAAAGGUUAAUUGUAUUGAAGUCGCGAAUGAAAAAUAGACCUUUAAUAGGGUUUAUUAGUAUUUGCCUUUAGACGUGGCAAAGGAAAAUGUAUAAAUUAAGAUUAAUCAUAAUGUUCUUUUUUGGUCGAAAACGUUACUAUCUAUUGUAUUAAUAUUUUUGAUUUUUAUAAACAAUUUAUGUCAUUAAAACAUGUAAAAUAUUAUUUUAAACGUUUUAAUUAUUUUAUUGUAAUAUAUAUAAAGAAACAAAUUCGUAUUAAAAUUUAUUUAAAAUUUAUAUCAAUUUUAUAUUAAUAUGUAAUGACAAAAUCGAUUAUAUUAACAUUAUAUUAUUCAAUAAAAAAUAAGUAUCUAUUUUUAGACCAGGCUUUUAAUUUUGUCUCAGAUUUAUUAUCUCUAGAGAAGAUUAAAAAAUUAACGUUUCUAUAUUGCGGGUCCCAAAAAUAAAAUUGUAGAUUGCUUAAACAUUAUUUUUAGCGUAUAAUAUUUUGAACGAUUAAGCGUUAUAAUCGUUUCACAGAAAAAUGACCGGAGUUAUCAGAAUCGUAUUAUCGAGAAUUGAGGAAACUCUUUGUCAACAUUGAGUAUUAAAUCAUAGCGACGUAAGUGCUCGAAGAGUAUCGCGAUCGAUAUUUAUCUUCCGUUUGUUUGUGACAUCAGACGUUAAAAUAGACUGCGUCGCAGCAUCCGUCGCAGUAUCCGCGGGUGAAGAGCAAGGUUUUCUGCGUUACGCGUUGCGUAAAUGGACUAUGCACGAGUGGUACAACGGCAAACUCAUCCGUUUAGCGUUACCAUCCAAUUUUAAUCACUCGCAUGCGUCUCCAUAACAGGCCAAAUGUCAAGCUUAGCGUACUCGCCUAACCGCCGCGUAUUAUUAAUCGCGACGCGGCGCCUUCGCUACUGACCGUCGACCCCGUCUUGAUUUCGAAAGUGCAAUAAUUUAUCGAACCUACGAUCGAAUUCAGGGCCACCGGAUUAUUAGUCUUGAUAUAAUUAAACAUCAGUCGAUGUCGAUUAUUUUUACACAUUCGACAAAUAUCUAAGUACAUGUUUAUACGUCAAUGUGUAUAUACUACAUCAACGUUAGCAGUAUCAGGAUCGCUGAAACAUAGUGAGUUGGACAAUACAUAGGAAUAACUUUAAAGGGUUUUAUCAUAUAAUGUCAAUCUCAUUUUCGAAUAUCAAGAACUCCUUUUAAGAUUUAAUUCUUAUCUCAAUCUGACGAGCAACUAGAAAAGAUUUUAAUGAAAUGAUUCGUAUUAAAAUGAAUGCUAGGCAUAUAUAAAUAGUUUCUGAUUAGGGAUUUAAUAUUUUUUUAUAAUAUUCUUAUGACAUUUAUAACGUUUUAUCUUUUAUGAUACUUAUCUCAAUAUAUAUAAAUUGUACUGUAAUCUUAUAAUGAUAUUAUCAAGGCACCCGAAAAAAUUAUAGCGUUUGAACAAAGAUUAAGGGACAAUUAUAUACACAAUUUAUAUUUUUUUAUAUGGAUGUCAUUAAAUUAUAAGUUACGUUUUCCACAUUCUGCCUACAAUUUUUUUCUAAGAUUUUCCAAAUCCUGAAGAAAAUAAUAUAUUUAUUAAAAAUUUAUAUAAAAAGUUUACUUAAAUUAAAUAGAUGUUUCAUUGAGCUUUAAAACAUUUAUUGAAUUGUUUAUGAGAUGGAAAUUUAAACAUGGAAUUGUGUUUAGUGAGGUGUUCAUGACUAUGAAGUGUUUAAGUGACGUUCAAUAACGUAGUCUCAAACACUUCCAUUAUAAUUUUUUACGUGUUGGAAAAUGUUAUUGUCAGCAGAGGAGAGUUCAUCAGGUGUUUGUAAUGUGCUUCCAAAAAAAAAAAAAAA
rnacentral:lncRNA from 1 species